rnacentral:rRNA from 1 species
AUUGAACGCUGGCGGAAUGCUUUACACAUGCAAGUCGAACGGCAGCACGGACUUCGGUCUGGUGGCGAGUGGCGAACGGGUGAGUAAUAUAUCGGAACGUGCCCAGUCGUGGGGGAUAACGUAGUGAAAAUUACGCUAAUACCGCAUACGAUCUAUGGAUGAAAGCGGGGGAUCGCAAGACCGCGCGCGAUUGGAGCGGCCGAUAUCAGAUUAGGUAGUUGGUGAGGUAAAGGCUCACCAAGCCGACGAUCUGUAGCUGGUCUGAGAGGACGACCAGCCACACUGGAACUGAGACACGGUCCAGACUCCUACGGGAGGCAGCAGUGGGGAAUUUUGGACAAUGGACGCAAGUCUGAUCCAGCCAUUCCGCGUGCAGGACGAAGGCCUUCGGGUUGUAAACUGCUUUUGUACAGAACGAAAAGGUCUCUGUUAAUACUAGGGGCUCAUGACGGUACUGUAAGAAUAAGCACCGGCUAACUACGUGCCAGCAGCCGCAGUAA